ACCGGAAAUCAUGACUGUAAGGAGUUCGAGAUUAGUUUUUGUUUAUAUUUUAUUAAAAAGUAUACCGGCUGCGAAGGCAGUUUUCAAGUCAAAUGCAUAAUAAAGUCAAAAGCUUGUUCAGGCUCAUUGUUUUAAGCUUAUCUCUUAUACCUCAUUCUCAUUGAUCGAUCUCUCUUUUUAGAAACUUAUUGAUGCAAUUCCAAAAUGAGUAUUGAAUUCUUAAGCCAACUAGAUAAGGAAUUCAGAAAGAUAUUCAUAUCAUGUUCUAUGCCAAAACAAUCGGCAAGUCUUGACGACUUCCAGGCAGUAGCCCUCGAGAAACUAAAUAAAUCAUCACUGAAGAACUGUUCAAAGGGUAUAAUUCAUAGCCACUAGUGGGCACAACUCAACAUUUUUUUUUUUAAAAAAAACUUGCAAGUUUUAAACACAUUGAUAUGAUUAUUAUACUUAUUCCAUAUAAUACUUUUUCUAGUCCUUGAAAAAAAGUGACGGAAAUAAAAACCAAGUGAUUGAAAAGUUA